UACGGAGGGUGCGAGCGUUAAUCGGAAUUACUGGGCGUAAAGGGUUCGUAGGUGGUUUGAUAAGUUAUCUGUAAAAUCCCCUGGGCUCAACCUAGGAAGGCCAGAUAAUACUGUUGAACUCGAGUAUGGGAGAGGGUAGUGGAAUUUCCGGUGUAGCGGUGGAAUGCGUAGAGAUCCGGAAGAACACCGGUGGCGAAGGCGGCCUGCUGGGCAGUAGCUGACACUGAGGCGCGACAGCGUGGGGAGCAAACAGG
rnacentral:rRNA from 1 species